rnacentral:rRNA from 1 species
AGCUCCAAUAGCGUAUAUUAAAGUUGUUGCGGUUAAAAAGCUCGUAGUUGGAUUUCUGCUGAGGACGGCCGGUCCGCCCUCUGGGUGAGAAUCUGGUUUUGCCUUUGCAUUUUCUUGGGCAACACUACUGCACUUGAUUGUGUGGUGUGGCACCCAAGGCUUUUACUUUGAGGAAAUCAGAGUGCUUCCAGCAGGCCUAUGUCUUGAAUACAUUAGCAUGGAAUAAUAAUAUAAGACUUUGGUUUUAUUUUGUUGGUUUCUAGAAUUGAAGUAAUGAUUGAUAGGGAUAGUUGGGGGCAUUUGUAUUUAACUGUCAGAGGUGAAAUUCUUGGAUUUGUUAAGGACAAACUAUUGCGAAAGCAUUUGCCAAGGAUGUUUUCU